UGGGGAAUUUUGGACAAUGGGCGAAAGCCUGAUCCAGCAAUGCCGCGUGUGUGAAGAAGGCCUUCGGGUUGUAAAGCACUUUUGUCCGGAAAGAAAUCCUUGGCUCUAAUACAGUCGGGGGAUGACGGUACCGGAAGAAUAAGCACCGGCUAACUACGUGCCAGCAGCCGCGGUAAUACGUAGGGUGCAAGCGUUAAUCGGAAUUACUGGGCGUAAAGCGUGCGCAGGCGGUUUGCUAAGACCGAUGUGAAAUCCCCGGGCUCAACCUGGGAACUGCAUUGGUGACUGGCAGGCUAGAGUAUGGCAGAGGGGGGUAGAAUUCCACGUGUAGCAGUGAAAUGCGUAGAGAUGUGGAGGAAUACCGAUGGCGAAGGCAGCCCCCUGGGCCAAUACUGACGCUCAUGCACGAAAGCGUGGGGGAGCAAACAGGAUUAGAUACCCUGGUAGUCCACGCCCUAAACGAUGUCAACUAGUUGUUGGGGGAUUCAUUUCCUUAGUAACGUAGCUAACGCGUGAAGUUGACCGCCUGGGGAGUACGGUCGCAAGAUUAAAACUUAAAUGAAUUGACGGGGUCAUAGCUGUUUCCU
rnacentral:rRNA from 1 species